GGUUCAGUUGGAAAAGUCACAGGACAGAGAGAGACUCGUGGAAACGAAGGAGCUCAGGUGAUGAUCUGCAGCGGAGACGAACCGGGAUCAUGAGGUUCUGAAGCGAGGAGGAGACGAGAGAGAAAAGUGCUGGAGCUGUGGCUGGGAGCGGAGACAGGAUGUUUUCUGAUCUCAUGUGUCUUGAUGAUUCAGAAGAGGGCAGCGGGCGAUUAGUGUCGUGCACGUGAGGCCGCCCGGUGCCGACUUCAGCGCUUCUGAGAUCUGAACCCACGGGACCCGAGGAAGACGAGGAGGAUGCUGCAGUGACAGAACAGAAGGAGCUGGGUUUGCAGAGAUCGUAUCAGUGCAUCGUUCCACCCUGAGCGGGGACUUGCUCGGCCUUCUCGGGAUUUCACACCAGAUGGUCUCACCAGAGUAAAUGUUCACGUCCCCUGCUGUCAGUGUGGAGUAGUGCUGGAGGCUGCGGGGCGGCUGUGUGCUGUGUGAAGUUCCUGCGAGUGCAGCGGAGUGGCGGGCGCUCACAGAGACACACUUGUGCAGAAGGAGGAGAAGACUGGCGCGCUUUUUUUUCACAGGAGGAUAUAUAUAUAUGUAUAUAUGUAUAUAUAUAUAAAUUAAAAAAGAAAAAAGGCAGUCUCACACCUUUGCUGCCCUGCACGGUUUGCGUCGGUUGUGGCAGCACCUCUGGGAUUGGAAGGAG